rnacentral:pre_miRNA from 8 species
GCAGGCCGAGAACUCUUUUCUAGCAGGUGCAGAGCUUAGCUGAUUGGUGAACAGUGAUUGAACUCUUUGUUCACAGUGGCUAAGUUCUGCAUCUGAGGAGAGGAUGACAGACUGAGGAAG